UGGGGAAUAUUGCACAAUGGGCGCAAGCCUGAUGCAGCCAUGCCGCGUGUAUGAAGAAGGCCUUCGGGUUGUAAAGUACUUUCAGCGGGGAGGAAGGCGAUACGGUUAAUAACCGUGUCGAUUGACGUUACCCGCAGAAGAAGCACCGGCUAACUCCGUGCCAGCAGCCGCGGUAAUACGGAGGGUGCAAGCGUUAAUCGGAAUUACUGGGCGUAAAGCGCACGCAGGCGGUCUGUCAAGUCGGAUGUGAAAUCCCCGGGCUCAACCUGGGAACUGCAUCCGAAACUGGCAGGCUAGAGUCUUGUAGAGGGGGGGAGAAUUCCAGGUGUAGCGGUGAAAUGCGUAGAGAUCUGGAGGAAUACCAGUGGCGAAGGCGGCCCCCUGGACAAAGACUGACGCUCAGGUGCGAAAGCGUGGGGAGCAAACA
rnacentral:rRNA from 1 species